rnacentral:lncRNA from 1 species
GACAAUUUUUCAGUGCGUAGCGCCUACAGACUACUCCUAACAUCUGACUUUCCUCGUAUUCAACAUAUUAACAGACCCUUUUAUAAAAGAUUAUGGACAUUACAUUUAAUGGCAAAGAUACAAAUUACAACUUGGAGAAUCUUUAACAAUUUUAUCACUAGUUUCUCUAAUCUCUACAACAGACGGCUGCGAUCUGAUGCGCGUUGCCUCGGUGCUUGGCUGCAACUGAAACCCUUGAACACAUCUUCUGUGAUUGUUCCUCUGUGGCUGGUAUCUGGGUUGACCUACAAAUCACCUGGCCUAGUGAGAUCUCAGGUACAUGUUUACAGGACUGGCUAUAUUACAUCUCCCAGGUUCACCCUUGCACCAUUCUCAGGAAACAGGAAAGUUGUGUGUGCUUUCUGGUUUAUUUGGUAUGCACGGAAUCGUCGUGUCCACGAAAAUGAAAUUAUUCAAACGCAUGUAUUACUUUCAGACGGUUGAGGCCUACUUAUUGGAAGUAGAUGUGGUUCGAUUGAAGCUGCCUGGGCGUCUGAUUGAGGUUGAGAGCUGGAGGCCUCCGGAUGGCUGUUGUCUGAAAAUCAAUUUUGACGCGCCGUUUCAUGCUCCAUCCAGGAGAUCCUGAGCAGGGGUAGUCAUAAGGAACAGUCAAGAGGUUGUCCUUGGUUCGCACAUGGUGGUGAAUAAAAACAUACCUUCGGCCUUUGCUGGGGAGGCCCUUGCAUGCCUUCAGGCGGUACAUCUAUGCCAGGCUCUCGGAUUUCCGGAUGUUAUUGUUGAAGGGGAUGCCCUCACGGUGAUUCAUAAAGCCCAAUCCCCUCUGUUUGAUUCCUCUAUCCUCGGCGCCAAUAUUCAAGAUAUUAAAUGGUGGGCGGGGCUGUUUCGGCGAUGUGAGUUUCGGCAUGUACCUCGUAAAGGCUACAUUGUGGCUAAUCUGUUGGCAAAGGAGGGUUUGCGGACUGGGACUGGUUCGUACCUGAGUGGGCGUGUGUCG